CAAGUCGGGUUGUGCAUGCGUGCGACCGAUCUCAUAAGGUCUUACGCGUGUGCGUGAGCUGAGAUAGAGAGCGAGUCGAGAAAAGGAGAGCAUGAAGAGAGCGAGCUAGGGGCGACAGCGGCGGACCCAGCGGCCGGCUAAGACCGGCGAGGCCACUCGAGGCCGCGGAGGGUCGUGUGGGUAACGACGAGGAACCGCUCGAGAUGGUCGAGGCGGCGUAGCUAGAUGAAAAGGAGGGAGGACACCAGCAGGGGUUGAUAAAGGAGCGAUCCCAAGGCCACCACCUCCGCCCAGAACAGCGGCUGCCGGGAAGCCCGCAGCGCCCCAAAGUAGGCCGUGGAGGUCGCCGAGUGGGGUCCGCCCAGAACAGCGGCUGCCGGGAAGCCCGCAGCGCCCCAAAGUAGGCCGUGGAGGUCGCCGAGUGGCACUACGCAACCACGGGGACCCCACCGCAGAGGCACGCCACUACGGGAGCCCCACCGCGGUGGCACGGGCCGCGAGCGGGACCAGCAGCACCAACACGAGGCCGCCGGAGGUCUGGGAGAGGACCUACACCACUACCAGUGUGGUGUUGGCAACACACCGACUCGAUGUCGAUACCGAUGUUAGAGGGAGACCACUCCAGGAGGGCCAAGGAAGAGGUAACUAAAACGAGUACGUACCGGAACCGGUACUAAACCCAACCUACACCCUAAGAUGAUCAACGACGAUCUACAACAUUAGUUCGUAGUUGAGGAUGACCUCGAGAGACCACUAUUUAAGUACGGCAAGAUCCCAGACAGUCAUCGACGGGUACACAUAAACGAAAUAAAGACACGAGUGCACUACCAGACCACCAUAUACUAACGAGACCUAAACGAUUCAACCAGUCCUCGUUUCACGAAUUAUACAACAAACGAGGAUACACCGAGACGAUAAGCACAAUUGACUUCCUAAGAAAUCAAUACUUCGAGGGACCAAGCCAUGUGAUUAGGAUAACAGAAACAGAUGAACUAAAGUGAACGACAUGAAGGGUGACGUUCAACUAAUUGACUUAUACGAUGAGAUCAAGGACCUCAACCAAUGAAUUAAGACAGAUAAAGGUAACCAGGCCGACUGGAAGCCCAUUAUCGAUUAAUAUGAACAACAAUGUCCAAUGACGAUAAUAUAUAUGAAUGUCGUCGUGACGAUUACUAUGAUCGGGUACACGACCACCUACACCACAGGAUAAAAGUCUUUUUAUGGUACACAUUCACCUCACGUCACAAGACGUCUUCGUCUAUAAGUCAACCCACGAUUGGAUAGAUAAAGAAGAUACGAUAGAAAUGAGAUGAAUUCUUAUCUAUGACGAAGAGAACCGAUAUAAGACGAAAGAACAGAUAAAAAGAUAGGGAGAGAGAAGAUAAUUUGACUAUUCUUGUCUACAACGGACUAGAAUAACGAAUACUACGACCAGACUCCGGAGAGACCCAAGAUUUCAAUAAAAACACCGAGGUUCUUGAGGAUGUUUAGGACACUACGUACUGUGUUGUAAAGACACGUGCGGACUCCUAAGGUAGUGAGGUUAGGAUGGAGACCACGACUCAUCGAACCAGAGCUCCGAAACCAAUAGGAAGAAGAACACCAAUCGGACGUGGAGGAGCGACGAAGUGUGAUUAAGAGUCACGAGACCUGCCCACUGAGUCGACACACGAACAACACACACGACGAUCACGACAGGAACGCACUCAGAGACCACGACCACCACAACUGUCGUCGACGAACGACAACAGUUCGAGAGGAACUACGGAUAGAACAUUCGACUACCCACCGAUUAACGAACCAAUGAACCAGGACCGGCCCACCCAAACUAGAUAUAGAUGAGGACCGAAAUAAGACUCCGACUUGUCACCGAAUAUAGAUGACAGUGAACUGUCCUAUAUACGAUGUAUGAUUAGGAUUGGGUGAGAGAGAUCACAAAUACCAACGUCCAAAACUUCUUUUCUUCUUCUAGUUCUAAUUUUAGUUCUAGAAUCUAUACUAUCAUAUCCUUCUUAUCUAUUAAAUCAAAUCCAAUAGAAAGGGCUUAAGAAAUGUUAGGUUCUUACAUAAGAGAAUAAUUAAUAAGUACAUACAGUAUACAUUAUAUUGAAACAUUAUAAAUAGGCUAAUAGUUAUUUCG
rnacentral:rRNA from 1 species